AACUCAGGUUCAAAUCCGAAAAAAAACCUGUUGCUCCUUUCCGGCAUGUCAUUCCCCACUCUCUCUCUCUCAUGUCCGACUCUAUCCCCUGUCCUGUCUCUACCAUAAAGAGACACCUUUUGACUUUUUUGUGGAUAUUCUGUCCCUAAUGAAGAAUUGAAAAUGACUCAAUUUAAACAUGUUUGUUGGCCCACAUGUUCAGUUACAAUCUUUUAUAGCCAGCAAAAUAGACUGUACUCACUACAAGACUUCAGCCAUUCACCAAAUUACCUACCACCUCAGAGUGUCACAAUGUGAGGAGAAAUAAAUGACCUUAAACUGAUGUGUUUGGAGAGGCUGCAGCCACACUUCUUCUGAUCCUCUACAGGCCUUUUACUAACUCGCCCUCCUGAACAGUUUUACUUUGAGCACUUUUUAAAACCAUUUCCUCAUGAUUAAAAAACUGAUCCAGGUCGUUGUUUAUCAGACGUGUAAUACUGGAACAAGUGUUUGGUGAGACGGAGGCUCACAUAACGAUGAACAGGUUGAGGCCAAACUCGUUGCCAUCUCAAAGACGGUGAAGCUUGCUGUGGUCCUCCACCAGCUCCCAUCCAUCUGUCUUUCCAGCUGUUCUCCUGGUGAUGAAUCUGCUCCCCGGGCCCCCAGCCCCACUCCAGCAGAGAGCCCUCUUGUAGAAAGGCCUGUGGAGGAUAUAAUGAAUUAGGUGUCUACCCAGGGUUCCCCGACCUCUGACCCAUGACAUCAUCAAUCAAGGAGGUCCUACACUCAAGUGAAGCGGUGGGCCCCAUAGCCUGGAACGCUUUGCCGGGCCCCUGCCGGCGAGCAGAGGCCACUGAUUUUCACUUGUUUUUAUUUGUUUUCAUAAUCCCGCGGUGUUCGUCCAGGCUGAUGUGUUUGGAAGGAAUACACGGCUCUGUCUAUAAUUUGUUUAAACCUGGGAGAAGAGAAACAUGGAGCGCUAAGUGAGAAGACGACUUGAAGAUGGAUGGAAGAAGUCACAGACGAGGCCUCUCUUGCAACAUAUGGAAAACAUUUAUUUCCCUCCUUCUUUUCUGACGGGGCAUCGAGCUCUCGCUGACGGCCUGCUGGUAUUUUAAAGAAACCAGUCAGCGCUGAGUGUGCACACAGAUCUCCUGAAGUCUUCUUCCAGUGGAAACGUUUAAAAUGGCACAUGUGGAUGUGAAGGAGAAAAUCACUUUGUUUACUUCAGUCUCUAUGAAAUGACAUACCUUCAUUUUGGACCGGCGUCUUUAGGAGACGGGCCUUUUAUUAUUUCAAACAAAACUUGUGCACAACAACGACUGGAAAGAAUUUAAAAGUUUUAAUUUACACCUGAAAGAAUAUUCAUCUUGAACCUUUUUUCUCACACUGGUCUGCAUACUGGCAUUAUUUUUAUUUUAGGACAGAUGUUAAAGUUCAUCUUAAUGUUUUUAGUCUUUUGCUGCUUUCCCUCCAUAUUCUUGAAAAAUAAAAUAAUCUCGAUAUUUUUGGGGGUUUUGCAGAUAUUUUACACCCCUAAAAAAAAAACCUCCAAAAUACAUGUCAAAGGCAGGGCUGUUUAUUUUCUCCAGAUUAAUUUUUUAAGAUUUUGGUUUUAAAUUGUCUUUAGGUCCUGACAGAAAUGAAUAACUCAUGUUCUCUGAACAAGGAACAAAGAGAAUCCAUCAUCUGUAGCAGCUGUAAGCCUGUAAAAACUUUCCUCUUUUUAUUUAUGUUGAAAGAGAUUGUGCUCUGUACGGGUCGUUCGUUGUGUUUUACAGACAAACUGUUGAGUGUGUUUUUGGUUUGUGCACCGGGUUUGAAUUCAUUUGAUUUGGAAGAUUUCCUCUGAUGAUCUUUUU